GGAAUCUUGCGCAAUGGGCGAAAGCCUGACGCAGCGACGCCGCGUGAGGGAUGAAGGCCUUCGGGUCGUAAACCUCUGUCAGGGGGGAAGAACCCGGAGUCGGUGAACAACCGCCUCCGCUGACGGUACCCCCAGCGGAACCACCGGCUACCCCCGUGCCAGCAGCCGCGGUAAGACGGAGGGUGCAAACGUUGCUCGGAAUCACUGGGCGUAAAGGGCGCGUAGGCGGACUUGUAAGUCGGGAGUGGAAACUCGGGGCUCAACCCCGAGCCUGCUUCUGAAACUGCGAGUCUUGAGGACCGGAGAGGAAAGUGGAAUUCCUAGUGUAGCGGUGGAAUGCGUAGAUAUUAGGAAGAACACCAGUGGCGAAGGCGACUUUCUGGACGGUUCCUGACGCUGAGGCGCGAAAGCUAGGGGAGCAAAC
rnacentral:rRNA from 1 species